rnacentral:rRNA from 1 species
UACAGAGGGUGCAAGCGUUGUCCGGAAUUAUUGGGCGUAAAGAGCUCGUAGGCGGUCUGUUACGUCGGCUGUGAAAACCUGGGGCUCAACCCCGGGCCUGCAGCCGAUACGGGCAGACUAGAAUUCGGUAGGGGAGACUGGAAUUCCUGGUGUAGCGGUGAAAUGCGCAGAUAUCAGGAGGAACACCGGUGGCGAAGGCGGGUCUCUGGGCCGAUAUUGACGCUGGGAGGAAGCG